rnacentral:rRNA from 1 species
UACAGAGGGUGCGAGCGUUGUCCGGAAUCACUGGGCGUAAAGGGCGCGUAGGUGGCGCCCCAAGUCCGUGGUGAAAGCUCGAUGCUCAACAUCGAGCGGCCACGGAAACUGGGGGGCUCGAGCACUGUAGAGGCAGAUGGAAUUCCGGGUGUAGCGGUGGAAUGCGUAGAGAUCCGGAAGAACACCCGGUGGCGAAGGCGGCUCACUGGACCGGAACUGACGCUGAGGCGCGAAAGCGUGGGAGCAACGGG